UGGAGGUAGUGACAAUAAAUCACAAUGCGGGACUAUUCGUCUUGCAAUUGGAUUGAGAACAAUGUACAACUCUUAUCGAUAAGCCAUUGGAGGGCAAGUCUGGUGCCAGCAGCCGCGGUAAUUCCAGCUCCAAUAGCGUAUAUUAACGUUGUUGCAGUUAAAAAGCUCGUAGUUGAAGUGUGGGUGGUGCCAUCUGUGGAGCUUCGGCUUUUCAGAUGAUCACUACCCCCUUCCAGUAUCCAGUAGUGGGUAUUCAGUUACUUACUACUGUGUGUUGGUCGUUUACUGUGAGAAAAUUAGAGUGUUCAAAGCAGGCGUUUGCUUGAAUAGAUUAGCAUGGAAUAAUAAUUGAAGGCUUUCGUGUUCGAUUUGAUUGGUUUGUUCAUGGAAGCAAGGUUAAAAGGAACAGUUGGGGGUAUUCAUAUUCACUAGUUAGAGGUGAAAUUCUCGGAUUUAUGGAAGAUGAACAAGUGCGAAAGCAAGAA
rnacentral:rRNA from 1 species